rnacentral:ncRNA from 1 species
GAUAUAAAGCGCAAGUACCACUUAUUUAUAAUAGGGUGGUAGACGAGGGAGAGGUUUAUCGAUAAGUCAGCGGAUGCCUCUCGGUUGGCUGCAACCGUAAGCAGAUAACAAAAUUUGUCGGCAACGGCAAAGACAAAGAGUCU